GGUAGCAACUGUGUGUUGCGUUCAUGUUUAGAAAAUUUCUAAUCUAAUUAAGAGUUUAGUAAGAUUUUAAAGCUUUUAUUGUGAUUUGUAAAUGGUUGUUGAAACUCCAAUUUGAGCUGUAAACUGAAUGUUUGCUUUUGUUGUGUGAGGUUCUAGGUUCCGAGUUCGGUGAUUUUCUUCCCAAAACAAGAUGUCUAACUUUCAUGUAAUGGAGAUGAUAGGAUCCAAACUGGUUUGUGGGAUGCUUUUAUAAAACCACAAGUUGUUGGUGCUGAAGUUUCUAUUGAACAUGUCUUUUCCUUAAUCCUCUUCAUGGAAAGUAACAACCACCAUGCUUAGGAGGCCCUUCGUCAAGCUAAGUUUAAGUUUCCCGACCGUCAAAAUAUAAUGAUAUACUGUCAUAUAGGUUCAAAGAGCUAUACAUCCCCAUCUAGAAUAAUGAAAGGAGUUGGAGAAGAGGUUAUUUUACACUGUAUGGCCUUUGCAUCAAUCAUUUGGAAACUCAUUGUUAUGCAUUAUCAAUAUUCAAUCAGUAUGCGGUGGCGGCGAUAACCCCAAAGAAAUGGUUGUUGGCUGAAACAGAACUAUGUUUGUGACCUGUCAGGUUAGUUUUAAUAAUCACUCAAAAAAAAAAUACUGGACUAAAAGUUUGCUCAAGUUGACAUAAUACAUAAUUGUACCUGAGUCAUAGCUAAUUUAUUAUAAGUUAAUGAAUCCAGAAAAAGGUGUAAAUUGAAUGUGUGCAGCAGCAUUUUAUUCUCUCAUCAUCGCCUUUCCCAUUUUUCAUAUCAGUGUAACUAGCCCAUUUUUCACAUCAUUGUAGCUAGCCCAUUUUUCAUAGUAUUGUGACAUUAGUUUAAAUGUCUUCAAACUCAUGUAAUGGUAAUUAUAUUAGUAUUUGAAUUU